AACGAACGUUAGCGGCGCGCUUAACACAUGCAAGUCGAACGAGAACGGGCUUUCGAGCCCCAGUAAAGUGGCGCACGGGUGAGUAACACGUAGGUAACCAACCCUUGGAUGGGGGAUAACGUUCCGAAAGGAGCGCUAAUACCGCAUACGACCAGCAAUGGUGAAAGUGGGCCUCUUCAUGAAAGCUCACGUCCGAGGACGGGCCUGCGGCCCAUCAGGUAGUUGGAGGGGUAAUGGCCCACCAAGCCUAAGACGGGUAGCUGGUCUGAGAGGAUGAUCAGCCACACUGGAACUGAGACACGGUCCAGACUCCUACGGGAGGCAGCAGUGGGGAAUCUUGCGCAAUGGGCGAAAGCCUGACGCAGCGACGCCGCGUGAGUGAUGAAGGCCUUAGGGUUGUAAAGCUCUGUGGAGAGGGACGAAUAAGGCAUGAUUAAUAGUCAUGUUGAUGACGGUACCUCUUUAGCAAGCACCGGCUAACUCUG
rnacentral:rRNA from 1 species